CUGAGAUUCGGAUGAUCCUAUAUCUGUUGAUUUGGAUAUCUAUACAAAGGCAGAUCUCAGCAAUAUGAAAAUUUUAGUUUUUGCCGCGUUCGUUGGUCUGGUAGGACUGAUAGAAGCUGUACCGGGUACAUUACCACCAACAGUAAUUGGUACCUUAAGCGGUGGACAGAAAGUCCGUGCUUUCCAUCAGGGCGGCCUAUUGAAGCGUGCAGGUCGCGCCGUGGCUGCCAGCGACAAGGAGGCGGCCGUGCUUCGCCACGACUCAAACAUCAGCCCGGACGGUUUCCAAUAUGCGCCGUUCAAGGACAGUACCAAUACUCGGCGCCGGACGGAACCCCCAUCCAAGUACAAUAUGUAGCUGACGAAUCCGGAUACCAUCCUACAGGUGCUCAUCUCCCCGGGUCCCAACCUCCCCCGAAUACUGCUCAUACGGCGGUUCUGGCCCACCCUCAUCCCAACGUGUAUAAACCAUAAGUACAAGGAUCAAUCGGACUGGAGACCGAAAGUCACGGCAGAAUCUGAGCGAGUGCAAAACGCGUGGAGUUAUUAAAAUGGCAUAGUAUAGUCAGCAUCAAAAGUAGCUAUAACGUCAAAAGUAUCUACUAUUCUCUAAUAGCUUAACAAAAAGAUAUAUAUUGUAUAGAACAAUUAAGCUGCUGCAGAUACUUUUACAUGCGGACUUUCCAGAUAUAUUGGAAGAGUAAUCGAGGGUGGAAGAUACUUUUGGCGCAAUGUUCCUUACACUACUACUGACGCUGACUGUACUAGAACGCUUAUAUUUACUAUAUCACGCAGAGUCCGCGGUUGAUCUAGUUGUGUUAGCAUCCGCGCGGAUGUUGCCGUGUCUGACGGAGCCCUAAAUACAACGAACCUUGCUAUAGAGUACAAAUUAUAAUUAGAGAGUAACACAAUAUUAUGAAAAUAAGCGCAAAUGUAUUAUGUAAAUAAAAUCACAGUGCCAUA